rnacentral:rRNA from 1 species
CAGCCGCCGCGGGAAUACGGAGGAUCCAAGCGUUAUCCGGAAUCAUUGGGUUUAAAGGGUCCGUAGGCGGUCUUGUAAGUCAGUGGUGAAAGCCCAUCGCUCAACGGUGGAACGGCCAUUGAUACUGCAGGACUUGAAUUAUUGGGAAGUAACUAGAAUAUGUAGUGUAGCGGUGAAAUGCUUAGAGAUUACAUGGAAUACCAAUUGCGAAGGCAGGUUACUACCAAUUGAUUGACGCUGAUGGACGAAAGCGUGGGUAGAGAACAGGAUUAGAUACCCCGGUAGUCCCUGUCUCUUAUAC